GACGAACGCUGGCGGCGUGCUUAACACAUGCAAGUCGAACGGAAAGGCCCUGCUUUUGCGGGGUGCUCGAGUGGCGAACGGGGGAGAAAAACGCGAGUAACAUGCCCUUGACUUUGGGAUAACUCCAGGAAACUGGGGCUAAUACCGGAUAGGAGCUCCUGCUGCAUGGUGGGGGUUGGAAAGAUUCGGCGGUUGGGGAUGGACUCGCGGCUUAUCAGCUUGUUGGUGGGGUAGUGGCUUACCAAGGCUUUGACGGGUAGCCGGCCUGAGAGGGUGACCGGCCACAAUGGGCCUGAGAUACGGCCCAGACUCCUACGGGCGGCAGCAGUGGGGAAUAUUGCACAAUGGGCGGAAGCCUGAUGCAGCAACGCCGCGUGCGGGAUGCCGGCCUUCGGGUUGUAAACCGCUUUCGCCUGUGACGAGCCGUGAGUGACGGUAAUGGGUAAGGAAGCACCGGCUAACUACGUG
rnacentral:rRNA from 1 species